AAUAAAUGCAGUUUUGUACUAUUCACGUUCAAUGUUUGACCGAUCGUUUUAUUUGAAAAUUUUUUAUGAUUAGUAUUUUUAUUGUUAUUAGAUGAUAAAACAUGAAUAGUACUUUAUGUGUGACUAAAUAUUUUUAAACUUUUCAUAAAUUUUUCAAAUAAGACGGAUGGUAGUACUCACUAUACACGCGGUACAUGGUUGAUGUGCUA
rnacentral:pre_miRNA from 1 species